GAAGGGGGCWAGCGUUGUUCGGAAUUACUGGGCGUAAAGCGCGCGCAGGCGGUCCUUUAAGUCAGGGGUGAAAGCCCAGAGCUCAACUCUGGAACUGCCUUUGAAACUAGAGGACUUGGGUACGGGAGAGGUGAGUGGAAUUCCGAGUGUAGAGGUGAAAUUCGUAGAUAUUCGGAAGAACGCCAGUGGCGAAGGCGGCUCACUGGCCCGUUACCGACGCUCAGGCGCGACAGCGUGGGGAGCAAACAGGAUUAGAUACCCUGGUAGUCCACGCCGUAAACGAUGGAUGCUAGCCGUUGGUAAGCAUGCUUAUCAGUGGCGCAGCUAACGCAUUAAGCAUCCCGCCUGGGGAGUACGGCCGCAAGGUUG
rnacentral:rRNA from 1 species